rnacentral:rRNA from 1 species
CCUACGGGAGGCAGCAGUGAGGAAUAUUGGUCAAUGGUCGGGAGACUGAACCAGCCAAGCCGCGUGAGGGAGGAAGGUACAGAGUAUCGUAAACCUCUUUUGUCAGGGAACAAAGGCGGGGACGUGUCCCCGGAUGCGUGUACCUGAAGAAAAAGCAUCGGCUAACUCCGUGCCAGCAGCCGCGGUAAUACGGAGGAUGCGAGCGUUAUCCGGGUUUAUUGGGUUUAAAGGGGGCGCAGGCGGUCUGUUAAGUCAGCGGUCAAAGCCCGGGGCUCAACCCCGGCCCGCCGUUGAAACUGGCAGUCUCGAGUUGGAGAGAAGUAUGCGGAAUGCGCGGUGUAGCGGUGAAAUGCAUAGAUAUCGCGCAGAACUCCGAUUGCGAAGGCAGCAUGCCGGCUCCACACUGACGCUGAGGCACGAAAGCGUGGGUAUCGAACAGGAUUAGAUACCCUGGUAGUC